CGUGUAGGCGGUUUGGCAAGUCGAAUGUGAAAUCCCACGGCUCAACCGUGGAACUGCGCUCGAAACUGCCUUACUUGAGUGCGGGAGAGGUGUGCGGAAUUCCUGGUGUAGCGGCGGAAUGCGUAGAUAUCAGGAAGAACACCGGUGGCGAAGGCGGCACACUGGCCCAGCACUGACGCUGAGGCGCGAAAGCGUGGGGAGCGAACGG
rnacentral:rRNA from 1 species